CCUUAACUAGGAAAGACUGUGAGAAUGAAAUAUAAGAGGGUAGGUACAGCAAAACCCACUGCUCCAACAAACAGAAAGCAAUGGUCCCUGUUUGAACUUGUCAUGAAAUGAAAAUGAAAUUGGCUUCGGAUUCUCUCCAGGCCCUCUUAUAAACCCAAUCAAUGAUGCAGAUAUCAGAGGAGUCCUUCUAGCAUCAUAUAUGGCAAUGAGACCCCUGUAGACAUCAUCCCCUCCCUUAUAAGAUACUGCUAAUCUUUCUCCCGAAGCAUCCCAAGCUAUCUUCUCAAUUCCAUGACUUCCAGUCAAGGACAUUAUCUCCGGCAAAUCAACUGGUAAUAAGUGCGCAUCUAAAGAUGGAGGCUUUGAUGCAAAGUGAAUAGAUCCCAAUGUUGCAGAACCAGAGAAAGCAAUCAGUAUCAUACGCCCAUCUGGAUCCCAUGUUGCUCCCGUUACAAACCCACUAGUUGAAGACCAGGUUUCAGAUGUCCAUGUGUUUGUCUCCCAAAGAUAAAAUGUUCCAUCUAAUUUUGCAGCAAAAAAGUAAUCACCAGUAGGUGACCAUUUGAGCAUUGAUAUACAUCCUAAACCCCGUCGAAUUGGUGUUCCCAAUCCUUGUGCAACAUCCCAUAUGGUGAAUGACGAACUUUCAUAUGAAGCAGAUGCCAAGUAUCUUCCAUCAGGACUCCAAGAAAGUGCACUUAUUUGUUCAUCCUUAUGACUUCGAAGAAAAUCCACGAGAGUCCAUCGAGUUCCAGCACCUCUAGAAAGAGUACCCAAGUAUGAAGCAGCACCAGAUCUCACAGAUGCAACAUUUCCAGGA
rnacentral:misc_RNA from 1 species